CGGCAAGCGCUGCACGACCAGCUCCUGCAGAAUCCCCCAGGGUGGGAACACAGCAAGGGUAUGUGGUUGUAGCGGUGCGAUGUAGUUGCUUGCCU
rnacentral:SRP_RNA from 1 species